rnacentral:rRNA from 1 species
GAUGAACGCUGGCGGCGUGCCUAAUACAUGCAAGUCGAGCGAAUGGAUUAAGAGCUUGCUCUUAUGAAGUUAGCGGCGGACGGGUGAGUAACACGUGGGUAACCUGCCCAUAAGACUGGGAUAACUCCGGGAAACCGGGGCUAAUCCCGGAUAACAUUUUGAACCGCAUGGUUCGAAGUUGAAAGGCGGCUUCGGCUGUCACUUAUGGAUGGACCCGCGUCGCAUUAGCUAGUUGGUGAGGUAACGGCUCACCAAGGCAACGAUGAGUAGCCGACCUGAGAGGGUGAUCGGCCACACUGGGACUGAGACACGGCCCAGACUCCUACGGGAGGCAGCAGUAGGGAAUCUUCCGCAAUGGACGAAAGUCUGACGGAGCAACGCCGCGUGAGUGAUGAAGGCUUUCGGGUCGUAAAACUCUGUUGUUAGGGAAGAACAAGUGCUAGUUGAAUAAGCUGGCACCUUGACGGUACCUAACCAGAAAGCCACGGCUAACUACGUGCCAGCCGCCGCGGUAA